AUUGAACGCUGGCGGCAGGCCUAACACAUGCAAGUCGAGCGGAUGAAGGGAGCUUGCUCCUGGAUUCAGCGGUGGACGGGUGAGUAAUGCCUAGGAAUCUGCCUGGUAGGGGGGGAUAACGUCCGGAAACGGGCGCUAAUACCGCAUACGUCCUGAGGGAGAAAGUGGGGGAUCUUCGGACCUCACGCUCUCAGAUGAGCCUAGGGCGGAUUAGCUAGUUGGUGGGGUAAAGGCCUACCAAGGCGACGAUCCGUAACUGGUCUGAGAGGAUGAUCAGUCACACUGGAACUGAGACACGGUCCAGACUCCUACGGGAGGCAGCAGUGGGGAAUAUUGGACAAUGGGCGAAAGCCUGAUCCAGCCAUGCCGCGUGUGUGAAGAAGGUCUUCGGAUUGUAAAGCACUUUAAGUUGGGAGGAAGGGCAGUAAGUUAAUACCUUGCUGUUUUGACGUUACCAACAGAAUAAGCACCGGCUAACUUCGUG
rnacentral:rRNA from 1 species